AUGUAUCAAAUAAUGAGCCUCACUAAAUCAAGCAUACACAUGUCAGUACAGAGAACAACUGCUCAUGCAAGAUCAUUAAUUCAGAAAUUAGGCAAGCUGCUAAAUUCAGUACAACUCCAAGAUCGAAGCAAGCGUACAACCGAUGUGGCCGCUCCCUGUGCACCCUCGGCAGUGUGGAGGCACGACGACACGCGGCCUUGUUCGCCAACGGCCGCCUUGAGUGCGUCCACAUCCCCGGUGGUGGCCGCAGCUCCCGUGUGCGGCGUUGAGGCAAUGAGUGUGAGUUUGAGUGACAACAGUAAUAUGCAGAUGUCUACAUAA
rnacentral:rRNA from 1 species